AUCCAGAUGACGAGUCCCAAACAGGACGAAGUGUGCAUACUGGAU
rfam:Trichobilharzia regenti genome assembly, scaffold: TRE_scaffold0034848